AGAACUGACAACCAGCUGGAGGUGACCAGAGUGGAGCGACAACAGGGGUUUUCUUUGAGCAUUUAGCCUCUGAUUGGUCAGAAGGGAUGGCAAAGUCAAUCUGUUGCUAUGAGAUGCUGACUUGUGUGCUGCUGGCUUGCUGUCUGUUGUCCUGGCAACACGAGGAGCAGGAGUGUUAGGUGUCUGGAACAGGCACUCACAUGGCGCUGGAGGGCAGAGAAGUGGAUGUCGGGGAUAAACAGGACCGGCUGGGUCUCGAGGUCGUUCAUCAUCUUGAAGAUGGUCACGUCGUUGCGCUUCUGGAGCAUGGGAACCUUCACAUCUGCAACUGAGAGGAAGAAGGAAGCAGGUCAACAAGUGAAAGCUCCACAAAAUACAGUAUAUCAUCACCCAUGGAGCUAUUGUAGGUUACCCGUAAAAUUAGCUGUAUGUGUUUUUAUUAGGCAAUAAAAGUGUUCUAUAAGGA